CGUAGGCGGUUUAAUAAGUCAGUGGUGAAAUCUGGUCGCUCAACGAUCAAACGGCCAUUGAUACUGUUAGACUUGAAUUAUUAGGAAGUAACUAGAAUAUGUAGUGUAGCGGUGAAAUGCUUAGAUAUUACAUGGAAUACCAAUUGCGAAGGCAGGUUACUACUAAUGGAUUGACGCUGAUGGACGAAAGCGUGGGGAGCGAACAGGAUUAGAUACCCUGGUAGUCCACGCCGUAAACGAUGGAUACUAGCUGUUGGGAGCAAUCUCAGUGGCUAAGCGAAAGUGAUAAGUAUCCCACCUGGGGAGUACGUUCGCAAGAAUGAAACUCAAAGGAAUUGACGGGGGCCCGCACAAGCGGUGGAGCAUGUGGUUUAAUUCGAUUAUACGCGAGGAACCUUACCAAGGCUUAAAUGUAGUUUGACCGGUUUGGAAACAGAUCUUUCGCAAGACAAAUUACAAGGUGCUGCAUGGUUGUCGUCAGCUCGUGCCGUGAGGUGUCAGGUUAAGUCCUAUAACGAGCGCAACCCCUGUUGUUAGUUGCCAGCGAGUCAUGUCGGGAACUCUAACAAGACUGCCAGUGUAAACUGUGAGGAAGGUGGGGAUGACGUCAAAUCAUCACGGCCCUUACGCCUUGGGCUACACACGUGCUACAAUGGACGGUACAGAGAGCAGCCACUUCGCAAGGAGGA
rnacentral:rRNA from 1 species